rnacentral:rRNA from 1 species
AGAUGUGUAAAAUACAUCUGUUAGCAAGGGCCGGGCAAGACCGGUGCCAGCCGCCGCGGUAACACCGGCGGCCCGAGUGGUGAUCGUGAUUAUUGGGUCUAAAGGGUCCGUAGCCGGUUUGGUCAGUCCUCCGGGAAAUCUGACGGCUCAACCGUUAGGCUUUCGGUGGAUACUGCCAGACUUGGAACCGGGAGAGGUAAGAGGUACUACAGGGGUAGGAGUGAAAUCUUGUAAUCCCUGUGAGACCACCUGUGGCGAAGGCGUCUUACCAGAACGGGUUCGACGGUGAGGGACGAAAGCUGGGGGCACGAACCGGAUUAGAUACCCGGGUAGUCCCAGCCGUAAACGAUGCUCGCUAGGUGUCAGGCAUGGCGCGACCGUGUCUGGUGCCGCAGGGAAGCCGUGAAGCGAGCCACCUGGGAAGUACGGCCGCAGGCUGAAACUUAAAGGAAUUGGC